rnacentral:rRNA from 1 species
CGGCCCCUCGUCGCACUCCGGAUGCAAUGCGCCGCCCCGCGCGCGCGCUAGUCCUGGCCUCCGGGCCUCGACACCCUUUUGUUAUCCUUGCCAUGCCUAUUCGAAUUCCGAGAGAUAUCACAACCAGUAGCGUUGGAUCCCUUGGCACGUCAUUCGAUGAAGACCGUUGCAAAAUGCGAUAAGUGGUGUGAUAUGCAAGUCCAAAACUUAUACGUGAACCAUCGAAUUGUUGAACGCACUGCAUCGAGCCUUACCCAGGAACGAUACGCCCCAUUGAGCGUCAUUACGUCUUCGCGACCUGUCCCCUUCUUGCGGGACUUGUCCGGGUUCGGGAUUCACGGCCCACGGCCGCGCUUCCUCAGAUGCAUGGACGCGCCGGAACGCCGGGUGACCUUGUCAUGAAUGUCGAGGCAGCCCAUGUGUCCCGGCGCAGGAUCCGCCGUCCGCCGACGGAUCGAGUGCGCUCGCCGCAACUUCUCCACAUGACCUCACGGGGGUGGGACGACCCGCUAGACUUAAGCAUAUUAAUCAGCGGAGGAAAAGAAACUAACAAGGAUUCCCCCAGUAACUGCGAGUGAAGAGGGAUGAGC